AGCGAACGCUGGCGGCAGGCUUAACACAUGCAAGUCGAGCGGGCACUUCGGUGUCAGCGGCAGACGGGUGAGUAACACGUGGGAACGUACCCUUCGGUUCGGAAUAACGCUGGGAAACUAGCGCUAAUACCGGAUACGCCCUUUUGGGGAAAGGUUUACUGCCGAAGGAUCGGCCCGCGUCUGAUUAGCUAGUUGGUGUGGUAAUGGCCUACCAAGGCGACGAUCAGUAGCUGGUCUGAGAGGAUGAUCAGCCACACUGGGACUGAGACACGGCCCAGACUCCUACGGGAGGCAGCAGUGGGGAAUAUUGGACAAUGGGCGCAAGCCUGAUCCAGCCAUGCCGCGUGAGUGAUGAAGGCCUUAGGGUUGUAAAGCUCUUUUGUCCGGGACGAUAAUGACGGUACCGGAAGAAUAAGCCCCGGCUAACUUCGUG
rnacentral:rRNA from 1 species